UUUAAAAACUGUCUGACCUGGCUCCUUCCCGAAUCUGCCUUUCUAUUCUAUUGCUCAUGGUUUGGUCUUAUGUGCGUUAAUCUCUUGAUAAAGCUUGUUUUUUUCUCUCCUAGAGGUUGCCAAACCAAGUGGUCACACAGACAAAACGCACUGCACAGGUGCCAGACUUCUUCCUCAGAGAUCCAUCAGAUGAACUUCCCUGCUAAAAACUUCCAUCCACUGCUCCCCAACUUAUGUCCCCAUUCAGCUCAAAGAAGUCAGAUACAUUGAACAGUAUUAUAUUAGCCAGAGCUCUUGAGAGACAAGUGAAGCAAAAGAUAGAAGGUAUCAAGGCCAAGAAGUCCUAUGAUAUGGAGUCUGAAAACUGGAGGAUUAAAAACGGUGGCCGUGGAAUUUAGUCUUAGGCAAAGGCCUAAGAUUCAGAAGGGACCCAUUGGUCCAAGUCUUCAAAUCUGUGUGGCCCCUGAGCCAGGAGCUCUGGUAUCAGAAAGCAGAAGAUGACAUGGAGUCACAGCUCAAGUUAAUGAAUUUGCCCUUUCUCUGCCUUGUUGUUGUGUUUGGGCACUCAGUAGAUUGGAUGAUGUCCUCCUGGACUGGUGAGGGUAAUUAUCUUUACUUGGUUUACAAAUUUGAAUGAUAAUCUCUUCCAGGUUUC
rnacentral:lncRNA from 1 species